GCACAGGAUGCUCUGGAAAUCCUGGCUGCUUUAUACAGGGAUGUAAAUAGGAAUUUUCUUCAGUUCCUUAAAAAAAAAGCUGGUAUUAGAGGUGCUGAUUUGAAGAAAUACAUUUGUAUUAUAUAUAUAUAUAUUUAAUUUGUACUUAGGCCAAUGAAAUAUUUGAGUUAUACAGAGUUUUGUCAAAAUUCAGUUGGUAUCUUUACUGAUCAGACAACAGCUGUCAAGUAAAUUAACCCAGAAGUCUAUUUUUAAGUUUAUGGAAAUUUGGAUCCAAAGACAGCAUUGACAAAAAUUCUAAUGAAUUUGUAGGCCAUGUAUUUAGCAAUACAUUUUUUCAUUUUAUUUGUAAAGUGCCUGUCUGAUACCCCGUUUUAUUCUGUUGAAGUGUCUUUUAUCUUGUUAGCAACCCAAAGGUUCAGAAAGCAUAAGGCUGGCCCUAAAAACACGACACCAGCUUUGAGAUAAAAUGCUUACACAUGGCUAGGUGAAUAAAUGUAAUAAACCAAUGUCUAUAUGUAAUAUGGUUUGGAGGCCUUCAACACCUCCAAUUUUUAUUUUUAAAAACCAGGAACAUAAUUCUUAAGUUGAGCAGGAAGCUGUGGCUGUAAAACCCCCCUUCCUACUUCCUCUCUCUCACCAGUUACUAAAUAUUGCAAAUCUCAUAAACCGUGAAAGUUGGCAAAUCAGAACAUUGCUUAGGUUUGAGGCUGAGGGCCAGGAGAUUUGGAAACGGUACUACCUGGUACAUCAGUACCAUGGAGCAUCAUCACUGAACGAGCUGCUGGGAUUUGGUUUAUAGCAGGUACAAAGUGGGGUCCUCAUAUUCUGUCUUGCCAGCCUCACUGGACUUGAUGGCAUGCCCUGCGAUUUGGGAAAGGAAGAGCUGUUAGGUGUGCUAUGGCUUGGCACUCAUCAACAUUUUUAUGCUGCUCCUUGCCUAAAUGAACUGUGGAAAUGCAAUCUGGGCAGAGCCACUGCAGGAUGGGUGGGAAAAUGUUCUGAAGCUGUGAUGAUCUCAUGGUUCCAGGUCAAAACAUGAGGAUCUGUAUAUAUAUAUAUGUAUCUGUAUAUAUAAUCAGUCUUUUCAGGAACACCCCUGACUUUGAAAGAGGGUGUGCGUGUUAAAUACAGGAAUUACACCCAGCUGAGGAAAACCUGGGAGGCAUGAGUGUCACUGGCUGUGGACCUGGGGGGCUUGGUGGGGACAUGCAGUGGGCACCUGGGCAGCAACAAUUGGUCACUCAAAUUGCAAAUGGGGAGCAGCUGGCUGCAGAGGUGGAGCAAUGAGGUAUUACAGGUGGUGGCCUGUAAUAACAAGUGGUGUCAGGUGCUUGUGAAUGAGGCACAUGCUGUCCUGCUGUUCCUAAUUGCUGAGCUCACUGGGCAGGAGGCACUUCUGGAUUCAGCUCUGGCAAAGCCUAAAUGGGAGUGUUGUCUCAUUUUGUGCUUAGUAACCACUGCAAGAGCACAUGCAGCUGGGACUCUAGCCUAACCCACCUCACCUCCCAAGAGCAUCUCUUUCUCUCCUCAGGCUUGGUGGGAGAGGAAGGAAACCUUUCCCAGGUCAGCCUGACAUGGAAGCAGGGAUCUUGGGAGCAUGCCUCACCUCCACGGGAUGAUCCAUGCGGGAGCAGUUUGCAGGCUCCGUCUCUGACCGGUUUCAGCGAUCCCAGUCCAGGGCCAGCCAAUUUAUCGCGAGGGCUUCGCUCGAGGCUCGCUGUCGGUUGGCAUCGGAAGGCGGCUGUAAAUAGUGAAUAAAUGAAUGGAGCAGACUCCGCUUUGGCAUAAGCAGCAAGUCCUCCUGCUGCUUUCAGGGGGCAUUGCAUCAGAGCUGGAUUUGGCUCCUUGGGAGGCGGCGUGAGCCAGUGGGCAAAGCAACAGGGGGAGGCAGAGACCUGGGUUUGCAACCCGCCUCUGCCACUGACUUCCAGCAUCACCUUGGGCAAGUUAUUUCUUCUCUCUGCCCUUGUCCCCCCUCCUCCCCAGCUUGCAUUUCUUUUGUUUCUGUGUACUGUAAGCUCCUCAGGGGAGGGGCUGCAUUCUACAGCUGCGAGUGGUGUAAGGAACACCGCUACCACGCUGAAAUAAUUGGAUGUCAGUCUGCAGAACAGGAAAGAAAAUGGUGCUGUAGCAUUCUUGGGUCCUUUUGGGUAAUGUAAGAUAUAUCGUAAAGCACUUUGGCUGCAACAACAAAGCUUAUUGAUUAGCCCUGAGUAUUCCAAAUUGUGUCUUUCUGCCCGAGAAGUAGCAGGAUGAAGAAUUAAAGUACUUACACAGGAGAAUAUUGUACAUGAGUUAUUGAGUAACCAUCAGCUCCGCGCCAGCACUGCUCGAUUUCUCUGGACUGUGUGUAACUUCUGAACAUUUUAUCUUUUUCCUUCUGCUUUCGCAGGCUCGUGCCAGCUUCUGCAGCAUAUAAAGUAGGUGCUAUUUUUAUUGAAACUGGCUUUAAUGUAGUAGAUUUUUCACACGUGUGUUGGUUUUUAUUGUUGGUCUCAUUCCUGAACUUUCUGGCACCUCUGAGUGUAAAGUCAGUUAUGUGCACAUUGUUUGGCAGAUGAAUUUCUAUUUCUGGGAAUCAUUUUCCUUCUAAAAUGUAUUUCUAUAUUAAAAAUGUGAUCUGUAUCCAUAA